rnacentral:rRNA from 1 species
GCCAGACUCCUACGGGAGGCAGCAGUGGGGAAUAUUGCACAAUGGGGGAAACCCUGAUGCAGCGACGCCGCGUGAGUGAAGAAGUAUUUCGGUAUGUAAAGCUCUAUCAGCAGGAAAGAAAAUGACGGUACCUGACUAAGAAGCCCCGGCUAACUACGUGCCAGCAGCCGCGGUAAUACGUAGGGGGCAAGCGUUAUCCGGAUUUACUGGGUGUAAAGGGAGCGUAGACGGUGAAGCAAGUCUGAAGUGAAAGGCGGGGGCUCAACCCCCGGACUGCUUUGGAAACUGUUUGACUGGAGUGCAGGAGAGGUAAGUGGAAUUCCUAGUGUAGCGGUGAAAUGCGUAGAUAUCAGGAGGAACACCGGUGGCGAAGGCGGCCUGCUGGACUGCGACUGACGUUGAGGCCCGAAAGCGUGGGGAGCAAACAGGAUUAGAUACCCUCGUAUCA